GACGUAGGGCGCGAGCGUUGUCCGGAUUUAUUGGGCGUAAAGAGCUCGUAGGCGGCUUGUCGCGUCGACUGUGAAAUCCCGCGGCUCAACCGCGGGUCUGCAGUCGAUACGGGCAGGCUAGAAUUCGGUAGGGGAGACUGGAAUUCCUGGUGUAGCGGUGAAAUGCGCAGAUAUCAGGAGGAACACCGAUGGCGAAGGCAGGUCUCUGGGCCGAUACUGACGCUGAGGAGCGAAAGCGUGGGGAGCGAACAGG
rnacentral:rRNA from 1 species